rnacentral:rRNA from 1 species
UAUUGCACAAUGGGCGCAAGCCUGAUGCAGCCAUGCCGCGUGUGUGAAGAAGGCCUUCGGGUUGUAAAGCACUUUCAGUCAGGAGGAAAGGUUAGUAGUUAAUACUUGCUAGCUGUGACGUUACUGACAGAAGAAGCACCGGCUAACUCCGUGCCAGCAGCCGGGGUAAUACGGAGGGUGCGAGCGUUAAUGGGAAUUACUGGGGGUAAAGGGUACCCAGGCGGUUUGUUAAGCGAGAUGUGAAAGCCCCGGGCUCAACCUGGGAACUGCAUUUUGAACUGGCAAAUUAGAGUGUGAUAGAGGGGGGUAGAAUUUCAGGUGUACCGGUAAAAUGGGUAGAGAUCGGAAGGAAUACCGAGGGGAAGGCAUCCACCGGGGUCAACACUGACGUUCAUUACGAAG